GAGUUGUCUGGCUCAGGAUGAACGCUAGCUACAGGCUUAACACAUGCAAGUCGAGGGGUAGCAGGGUAGCAAUACCGCUGACGACCGGCGCACGGGUGAGUAACACGUAUCCAACCUUCCCAUAACUCAGGGAUAGCCUUUCGAAAGAAAGAUUAAUACCUGAUAGUACUUUUUCAAGGCAUCUUGAGAAAGUUAAAGAUUUAUUGGUUAUGGAUGGGGAUGCGUUCCAUUAGAUAGUUGGUGAGGUAACGGCUCACCAAGUCUUCGAUGGAUAGGGGUUCUGAGAGGAAGGUCCCCCACAUUGGUACUGAGACACGGACCAAACUCCUACGGGAGGCAGCAGUGAGGAAUAUUGGUCAAUGGGCGAGAGCCUGAACCAGCCAAGUAGCGUGAAGGAAUGAAGGUCCUAUGGAUUGUAAACUUCUUUUAUAGUAGAAUAAAGUGAUCCACGUGUGGAUUUUUGUAUGUAUACUAUGAAUAAGGAUCGGCUAACUCCGUGCCAGCCGCCGC
rnacentral:rRNA from 1 species